GUGGGGAAUCUUGCGCAAUGGGCGAAAGCCUGACGCAGCCAUGCCGCGUGAAUGAUGAAGGUCUUAGGAUUGUAAAAUUCUUUCACCGGGGACGAUAAUGACGGUACCCGGAGAAGAAGCCCCGGCUAACUUCGUGCCAGCAGCCGCGGUAAUACGGAGGAUCCAAGCGUUAUCCGGAUUUAUUGGGUUUAAAGGGUGCGUAGGCGGUAGCUUAAGUCAGUGGUGAAAGUUUGCAGCUCAACUGUAAAAUUGCCAUUGAAACUGGGUUACUUGAGUACGGUAGAGGUAAGCGGAAUGCGUAGUGUAGCGGUGAAAUGCUUAGAUAUUACGCAGAACCCCAAUUGCGAAGGCAGCUUACUGGACCGGUUACUGACGCUGAGGCACGAAAGCGUGGGUAUCAAACAGGAUUAGAAACCCCUGUAGUCC
rnacentral:rRNA from 1 species